rnacentral:rRNA from 1 species
CCCUUCGAUGUUCUGGGCCGCACGCGCGCUACACUGAUGCGUUCAGCAAGCUCUCUAACCUUCACCGAUAGGUGUGGGUAAUCUUCUGAAAGCGCAUCGUGUUUGGGCUAGAUGAUUGCAAUUAUUCAUCUUCAACGAGGAAUACCUAGUAAACGCAAGUCAUCAACUUGCAUUGAUUACGUCCCUGCCCUUUGUACACACCGCCCGUCGCUCCUACCGAUCGAAGAGUUAGGUGAAUUGUUUUGAUCGAUAAGAUUUGACUAUGGUCAACUCUCGUUGUGAAAUUCUGUGAAUCUGACUGUUUAGAGGAAGGAAAAGUCGUAACA